rnacentral:rRNA from 1 species
GUAAGCAACCUGCCUUUAAGACGAGAAUAACAAUUGGAAACAGUUGCUAAGGCUGGAUAGGAAAUAAAAAGGCAUCUUUUUAUUUUUAAAAGACCUUUUUCGGAAGGUAUGCUUAAAGAGGGGCUUGCGUCACAUUAGUUAGUUGGUAGGGUAAAGGCCUACCAAGACGAUGAUGUGUAGCUGGACUGAGAGGUUGAACAGCCACAUUGGGACUGAGACACGGCCCAAACUCCUACGGGAGGCAGCAGUAGGGAAUUUUCGGCAAUGGAGGAAACUCUGACCGAGCAACGCCGCGUGAACGACGAAGUACUUCGGUAUGUAAAGUUCUUUUAUUGAAGAAGAAACAAUAGUGGAAAAACUAUCUUGACGUUAUUCAAUGAAUAAGCCCCGGCUAACUAUGUGCCAGCAGCCGCGGUAAUACAUAGGGGGCGAGCGUUAUCCGGAAUUAUUGGGCGUAAAGGGUGCGUAGGCGGUUUAAUAAGUCUCUAGUUUAAUUUCAACGCUUAACGUUGUCCUGCUAGAGAAACUGUUUAACUAGAGUGAGAUAGAGGUAAGCGGAAUUCCAUGUGUAGCGGUAAAAUGUGUAAAUAUAUGGAGGAACACCAGAGGCGUAGGCGGCUUACUGGGUCUUUACUGACGCUGAUGCACGAAAGCGUGGGGAGCAAACAGGAUUAGAUACCCUGGUAGUCCACGCCGUAAACUAUGAGUACUAAGUGUCGGGGUUAAACUCGGUACUGAAGUUAACACAUUAAGUACUCCGCCUGAGUAGUACGUACGCAAGUAUGAAACUUAAAGGAAUUGACGGGAUCCCGCACAAGCGGUGGAUCAUGUUGUUUAAUUCGAAGAUACACGAAAAACCUUACCAGGUCUUGACAUACUCUGCAAAGCUAUAGAAAUAUAGUGGAGGUUAUCAGGGAUACAGGUGGUGCAUGGUUGUCGUCAGCUCGUGUCGUGAGAUGUUAGGUUAAGUUCUAAAACGAGCGCAACCCCUGUCGUUAAUUGCCAGCACGUUAUGGUGGGGACUUUAGCGAGACUGCCAAUGAAAAAUUGGAGGAAGGUGGGGAUUACGUCAAAUCAUCAUGCCCCUUAUGAUCUGGGCUACAAACGUGAUACAAUGGCUAUUACAAAGAGUAGCUGAAACGCGAGUUUUUGGCAAAUCUCAAAAAAAUAGUCUCAGUUCGGAUUGAAGUCUGCAACUCGACUUCAUGAAGUUGGAAUCGCUAGUAAUCGCGAAUCAGCAUGUCGCGGUGAAUACGUUCUCGGGG